AGACCUUCACCCCUGCUAGUGCCGCGAUGUCACCCAUGGUUUUAAAAUGAAAAAAUUAAGGAUGGAUCCAUUUUGGACCCAGCGCCCCUUGCUAUCAAGUUUAAACACCCCUUGACCCACCAUGGGUGGCGGCGCUGAUUAGUGGCUGUAGAGAAUGGCCUGUGGAGCUGGUCAAUCGGGUCUUUGCUGACAGUCACAUGAGUAUCUUAGUCGACCGAAAUAACCCGAUCAAUUUGGAUCCUUGCCUUGUUCACUCUAUGUCGUCCCCACCUAGUUCCCCUUCUCUUCACGAGAUGGAGCUCUCUUCUACCUCCACCUCUAAGCCGCUUUCACUCAUCUCCCUGCCUUCUCCAAGAGUGGAGUUGUCGGGGUGUGGAGAGCCAUGCAGAAGCCCUAGGCUCAAGGUCGUGGGAGCUAUCAAGUUAGCCAUACCGAAGCUUUUGCCUCCUAAAACGCGGCGAGAUCACCAAAAUCGACCCUGCCUUGCCCCUCCAUGUCAUUUCUUAUGGACUUCCAAUUGAAUGAGGGAGGUCCUGAGGGUUUAAAAUCAUAGAGGACAUUGCCAUAGAGGUGACUUGCUCCCUGCUUGUCAAGGAAAAGGAGAAGGCCUAUUAUGUGGCUUGAAGCUUUGUGCUCGAGCUAUUGUAACUCCGUCUCUCAUGGAAUUGUUGCUCAUCUGAUUGAACCCCUCUAUUUGUCUCUUGGCUUCUGUUCCUAAGUUGAUAUUGAAGGUCAGUGUUCAUUUGGUGUUCUGGCUUGUGAUGCAUGUUGAUUUGAAUUGUUUCUGUUAGAGUAUUAUUGCAUUUAUGACAUUAGAUGUAUUUAUGAUAGUAGGGCUUAUUUUAUUUUUUACUUGUAUGUCUUAUUUGUAUAUGUCUAUUUAUGCUAAGUCAUCCGUACAUAUCUCUAUAAAUAUUAAUAUAACCCUAGAUAAGGAGUGUGAAUUUUAUCUAUAUUUUUCAUGGUAUCAAAGCCAAAAUCCUAACCUUAGGAUAAGCCGCCACCAUAAGUGAUCAUCUUCGGUGGAUCCUCUACCACCAAUUACUUUCCUUUUUCUCUUUUCUUUCACAUAUCCAUACCCAUCUUCGAUAAAUCAAUAUACCCAUUAUCAAAUCUUAUCCUUUUUUUCAUAUUAUUUUUCUCAUUUUUACUGCUUACUACAAUACUGCUACAGUACCGUCGCAAUAGUACUACUACAGUAUCUAGUCUACUACAAUAAAUCCUGCUAUAGUACCAGCUGUUAAUUCUUUGAUGCGAUUUUCAUUUUGUCAUCUUACAACAAACUUAUGGUGGCUAACAGAUCUUCACUACUUUCCAUCAUCAACAUCAAAAUCUUGGUCCCGAUUGAACUCACCGACACCAUCUAUUUUGUUUGGAAACAAGUAUUUUGGAAUAUGCUUGAAAGUUUUGGAGUCUCCUCACAUGUAGAUGGCAUGACAAUCAUCCCUACUCAAACAAUUGAGUGAACCGACGACAAAGUUUUGACCAAUCCAACCUACUCUAUCCAGAAAGAAGAAGAUAUAACUAUAUUGUCAUGGAUUAACGUGACAUUGUCUUUGAGUAUUUUACAGAUGGUGAUAUCUACUUCACCAUAGACAACGGAUGAGGUUGGAAUGGCGAUUCUCUCUCAAGUCAAAACUUUGAAACAUAAAGAAGGAA
rnacentral:lncRNA from 1 species